rnacentral:rRNA from 1 species
AGGCAUGCAAGUCGUGCGAGAAGUCCCCUUCGGGGGAUGGACAGCGGCGAAAGGGAGAGUAAUACGUAGAAAUCUGCCCCCUGGUCUGGGAUAGCGUCGGGAAACUGGCGGUAAUACCGGAUAAAGUCUUCGGACCAAAGGUGAGAUUCCGCCGGGGGAUGAGUCUACGACCUAUUAGCUAGUUGGCGGGGUAAUGGCCCACCAAGGCAAUGAUGGGUAGCGGGUGUGAGAGCAUGACCC